GCUGCUGUAGCUCAGUGGUAGAGCGUGGGAUUGCAGUUAAACUUGCAGUCAUCCUAAGGUCCGUCGUUCGACCCGGCGUAGCAGCU